AAGUCAGCAGCCCCAUUUUGUGUGGAGUGAAAACUAAAAGAUUUCAGGAGUAAAAACACAAAUGAUGGAGGGAAAGAUAUCAGAAUCACCAGAACUCAGCUGUGUGUCCAUGAAGAGUGACGAGUCAAUGGAUUUUCCACUUCACUUCAAAGACAGAUACAGUUCUACUGAUGUGAGAAUGAUGGAGGGAAAGAGAUCAGACUCACCAGAACCCAGCUGUGUGUCCAUGAAGAGUGACGAGUCAAUGGAUUUUCCACUUCACUUCAAAGACAGAUACAGUUCUACUGAUGUGAGACCACAAAAAUCAAACAUCAGCAGAAAACAGCUGGACUCUAUAUUCAAGG